AAGGAGCCAAUCAUGGACCGUCACUAUCAGAGAAAGCAGCCAAUCAGAAAGUAUGUAUAUAGCAGGGCAGGAAGCAGAGGCCCACUUAAGCACAGUGUCCGUUAAGCUCAAGACCAUCGCUGCAGACAGACAAGGAAGGGAGAUAGCCUGGUCAGCUAUCUGAACAGAGAACAGACAAGGACAGAUCGACCACCUAAUCCUGUCUGUUUCUUGGGGAAACCAAGCAACUAAAGAACAGGCUCAGCCACCUGUGGUGCCAUGGACUUAUUUGGUCUUGCUGCACUCCUCUGAGGAACCAUCGCCCUCAACAGUACCCAAAGUGGAAAACCAGUUAUUGAGUGGGAUCGACUCAGGGGACUCCGAUACUACCUGCCUCAUUCUCUUAGACUGCCUGUUGGUCACCCAUUCUCUCUCUGCCUGCAUACUCCACGCUACAAUGAGACCACCUCCUUAAACAUGCUAUUCACAUACACCACAAUGACUCAGUCCACCAUUUAAGUUCUGAAGCCUAAAGCUCAAGCUUCUGCAGCCCUUGACAUUUCCUGCAAAUGUGUUUGUCUAGGAUGCAUGGAGCACCCAUGACUUCCUACAUGCCACAGGAUGCAUAUUCCACUCGACUGAGCUACCCUGCAAUACCUUAACUUUACAAACUAUUUAAUAUGAGUAGAAUAAGUAGAAUAACUUACCAGUUACUCACUAGUCAGCUUCUUCCCCUGUACCAAAGAAACAAAUGCUGGAGACUGAAAAAGGUAGAAAAAGAAAAGAGAACCUCCUUCCACUCUUCAUCGAACUCCCUCACUCAUCAAAUUCCUAGCUUUUUACCCUGUCCAAGCUGGACUCAGUGAGUUUGAGUCUGUAAGCAACUGAUGCAGCAGCCAAGUAUUGAUCCUUAUUUGAUGGCCACUGAGGGUGGAGAUACUGUUGCAUGAGGUGGUUGUGAGGUUGAAUGGUCCUCAGUGCCACUCCAUGCUAUCACCCUCAUAGGUCAACAUUGCAGCAUGUCUAUAAAGAGGAGCCAAUUUUAAACCAAUUGUAACUACUACCGUCACUAAAUACAUCAGCUCCAUGUUGCAUGGCUAGUUCAAAUGUCCUUGCAGCAAAUGGAAUAGCAAUGCAUCUGUUUCUUUGACAUAGCUCUUUAUAAGACUGUUCCCUGUGGCCAUUGAUAGCUAGCUAGCAGAAAUACUUGGUGGGUGCCACCAAUCAGGGUACACUGACAACUGAUCAUGCUCUUUUUUGCAGUGCCUUCGGAAGCAUGGCAUAAUGUGAUUGGGGGAGUCUCUGUAAACAUUCAACAUAUGGUUAGUCAGGCAUUUGCUCAUCUUAGGUGUACCAUCAAGUCAUAAGGACAAGCCACUUAGCCACUCAAGCCUAUUAUACCACAGCUCCUAGCCUUGCACCAUUUAGACAAUACUCUGAUUUGUCUUUUUCAGAUUUAAAGUGGCUGACCUUUGUUAGGUUCAUAUGACAUGGAAAGAAACACACCAUUAUAUAUUUAAAAACUUUAUCCUUUUUUAAAACUGGUCUUUUUCUGCUAAACAUAGAACAUUAAGAUGGCUGCUACAAGCCAUCACAGGGUUGGCCUUCUGACUGAGAGCUAUCCCCAGGAGUUCUGAGGACAAAAGAAUUCUUCUGUUAGUUUCUGGAAUGUCAGACCUCAUUAUACCUAGAGAGCUACUGCAGACUCAUAUCAGACCUGGGACUGUUCAGACCAAUUUCAAAGGGGACUGUGGGGAUGUGACUCAUGUUUGAUAAGUCAACCUAGCUAGCAGAGUCAGUGGGUCUGCUGAGACAAUGGCUUCCCAAAGGCCAGACCCUCAACAUAGAUGCACCCCUUUCAACAACUAAUGACUGAGGCAUUAUCAGUCUUGAAACCAAAGUCAAUUCCAGAUAUUAGAUAAACAUCCCCUUUGAGUCACUGUGGAGAAGGAAAGUCACAUGACCCAAGCUUUCAGCCUUUUGGACAUUUUAAUAUUACAUCUCUGGUCCUCACAGUCAGAUUGCAGUUUUAACAUUGACUGGACAGAACUCCAGUAGCCAGGCUGGGUAAGCAGUUUCAACUCCACAAUGCCUGCUUGGUUCUAAAAGUAUCUGAUCAACACCCGUCAAAUAUCUAAACACAGAAAAGCCCAUCUUGCAGCAGAGUCAUUAGUAUCAAGGAUUUUUGUAUCGUUUAACCAACCAGAAACUCAUUGGAAUGGAACCCCACCAUGAAGGAAACACGCUCUGGACUUUGCCUUUGGACUCUGGAACUCAGUUGAACUUACCCAUUGCUACACGAGGGCGGCAUUGACCUCUUGCUGGGUCAAAGUCUUCAUUCUCAUCCAUGCACUCACAGAAGAAGGAGCCUUCAAAAUUUUCACAGAGUGCUGUUCCACAAACUCCAUUCAUCAUCUCACAUUCAUUUAUAUCUAAAAAUGAGAACACAAUGAUUUUUUAAUUAGAAUAUAUAUGUACUCUGACAGCCCAAUGGCAGUGACGGGAUUCAUGUCAGGUCAAUGGCAUCUUUAAGGAAGGAAAUCUGCCAUCCUUACCCGGUCUACCUACACGUGACUCCAGACCCAGGAAACCACUCAGUUCUAUCAAACCAUAACAGAGAAGUUUACCACAUGACUGCAGUGGUUCAAGAAGGCAGCUCAUCACCGCCUUCUCAGGGACAAUUAUGGAUGGGAAACAAAUGCUGGCUUUGCCAGCAAUGCCUAUGUCCCAAGAAUGAAUAAAAAAAGUUACACCAUUUUCAAAUUUAUCAAUUCUGAAAAAACCUUUUGAGUACACGAUUACUUGACUCUGUGGGCUAAAAAUUCAUCUGUAAUAAUUUGCAGUUGCAGGGAUUGUGAUUCAUCAUUUGCCCACGCCAGACUGUGUUGAGACAGACAGCAAACAAAGGUUGUGUUGUAUCCUCAUUUAUAUAAUUAUAGUGUACAGCUGAGCAUAACCUGCGCUUUUGGCUGGUCGUACAUGCAACAGGGAGCCUGACAUCUUGCGAGACUAGCAUAUGUUUUAUCCAUCCUUCAGUUUUUCAAUGCAAUUUGGCCUUCUUAAAGUGAACAACGCUGAAUGAAAGGGAGUUGCUGCUGACUGCCAGUACUGCAAUUGUUUGAAAUUGCAAACAAAGCAAAAGGAGCAACAAAGUAGAGAGAGGACUCCUAGGUUUAUGGAUGCAGAGCUGGAGUCCUUAGUAUGGAAGUCAAACGGGGAAUGAGAGACAGGCCAUGUUUCUGUGGUGGGGGGCUGGGGCAGGAGGCCAUCAAAGGAUCCUAUUCCCUUCACGUGUGGUGUCUGAAACACAAGGCAGAAUCUUCCGUCAAGGGAAUAUCAUUUUUUCCAAGGCCAGGAUUUCCUGUUUGGCGAGUGGGGGGCGGGGCCCGCUCGCCGAAGCGUAAAAUGACACGGGAUGACGUCAGGCGGAACUCCCAAUGUCACCCCACCUCAUUUCAAUUUUCAGGUCAGCGGGGGCUCAGCUGAAUCAGGUGCACCCACCGACCUGUCAAUGGCCUAUUGAGGCCAUUGACAAAGUAAUUAACAUAAUUAGUGGACCUGCCUGUCCACUAAUUGGCGGGCAGGCCGGGAGCCCUGGUGGGCAUUGGAAAAAGUAUGAAACCUCAUCCACGGGCGAGAUGAGGUUUCAUGUAGGUUUUAAAAAAUUUAAUAUAAGUGUAAAUAAAAGUGAUGGACAUGUCUCAACUCAUGUGACAGUGUCACACGAGGGGAAAUGUCAGGAAAUUUUUUUUCUCUGUUUUUAACAUGUUUUAAUGUGGAGCCAGUCUCCCCGAGGCAACACUUAGCCUCAGGGAGAUGAGUGUGCUCUUUUGCGCGCAUGCCCCGAUUGGGGGCACCGAUCGGAGUCGUGCUUUCAUGCGCCCACUCCUGAAACCGCCCCCAAUGGGAGGAAAAUUGUGCCCCAAUAUUAUUGUGGAAUAAUGUGAAGCAGGCUUGUGAGGGCUGUGUGUGUGUUGUGUGUAUGUGUGACUAAUUUAAACUAAAGACAGUCAGACUGCAAGGUUUAAAUCAUCAAAGGGAAUAUGUGUUAAAACAUGCAUUUUGAAAUGGAGAUGGACAAGCUAAGAUGAGAUCCCAGUAAAGACAGUAUAAAUGGAAUUUGCAUUAGGAGAGAAAUGAGGAGUGAAUUGUUAGCUGUUGAAUUUCAAAGAGGCAUACCAGGAAGUUUUACAACUGGCAAGGAUUGUAAAUAAAUGAGGCGAAGUUAUUAAGUUUAUUUCUCCUGAAAGAGCUGGCCAUAAGAUUUUAUAUUCUGGGAAAGGUAACUCCCAAAGAAAGUUUAGAACAAUGGGUUUAAAGAUCAAAGGGGAGAAAAUAUAUUUAAGGAAAGAUUGAAAGCUUUAUGAGGUGAGUGGCCAUGUGAGAUCUUGAAAGGUGGGCUGUGCGAAGACAGAUCUAUGAAAAGCAGCCUCCAGCCACCCAAGAGCAGUGCUUGUUUGUUCCAGAAAGCAAGGUUUUGUUACAAGCUUUGGAUCUCCAUUGUUGAGUGAGAGGGAAAGGGAAGCCCUGUGAAAUACUUCCCUUAUAGCAUCCGUGGGUGCCUUGAAGUAAUAUUAUUGGAUGUUUUAUACAUUAAGAAUCUAUUUGGACUUUUGCUUGGAAAAGGGUGUUUAUUUUGAAAGUCUAGUGAAUUAGAAGGCUUUUGGAAAAUGUUGUAAGACUAAAUUUAACUGUGUAACUGUAAUCUUGAGAGUUUAAGUUUUCUUAUCUUUUUUAAUAAACGUUUUAAUUUAAUAUUCAAAA